rnacentral:lncRNA from 1 species
CUUUCCCCUUAUGUCCUGCUCCUCCUCCCCAUUUCUCAAGCCCUGACCCCUAUCCUCCUAUCUCAAAGUAGGUUAUAGAAACUAGAAUCCGAAGGGCUCUCACUCUCCAGCUCCAGAACUAGCAGGUCCCAGUUCAGUGCUGCAGUGGUUACUUGGACUGUUUCCGCACUGCCCGUGGCUGUCCAUUAAAUGAGCCGGUGAGACUCCGGCGGCAUGUGGCAAAAACCACUGCCGCGGCCGCUGCAGAUUCGCUGCGCUCUGGGUUGCCAGAAGGACCUAAGGCAGAGCUCACCAGCACCCGCAGAUCUGAGACCUUGAAGGUGUGUCUGGGUCCUUCCCUAAGAUCUCUUUGCUAAGAAAAAAAAAGGUCCUCCUAACGACCCUAAAGGUCAAUGGGAGAAAAACAGAGCCGAGGUGUGUAACAAAGGACUGGGAGAGGGUCGGGGGAAGGGAGUUAACAACUGCAAAAAGAUGCUUUUUCAAACUUUCUCCUAAAGUGGAAAGGGAGGAGGAGGUGGUGCAGUCCGGCUCAGGUGAGACUGAAUGGGUGGGUGGUGGACUUAGGGCCAGGGCGCAGGGUCUAGCUAGGAGUUGGGGGCGGGCACGUGUCUUUCUAUUAGGGUGACCCCAUUAGUGCACCCUAGCAGAGUCAGCGGCCGAGAGAAGGCGAAGAGGAGGAGGAGACGCCCGGUGCCCCUCCUUUUUUCCGACACGUCAUGGGGUCCGCUGAGCUCCCCCGCCGCCUCCCGCCCACCCCAGGCGAAGACACAGAAGCAGCUCCCUCGCAGUCCGCACCGAGGACGGAGGGAGGGCGGGAGAGAGCCGGCGCCGUGGCGGCCGCUGUCGCAGCGGAGAAGCCUGCCGGAGAAGCGGAGCCCCGCCUGCCGCCUACCUCUGCAGCCUCAGGAACCCGGGGCUCGGGGUUGCCACUACCUGCUUUCGUACCCGUGGCAGGGUUUUGUCUUCAUUUAUCAGUCGACCUUCAGGGACCCAAGAGAAGCUUUGUCAAAGGGGAUGCCUUGUUUACUUGUUGGCAGAAUGACAGUAUCUUCAGCAUGGUUUUGGCUGCCUUGGAGAUGGUUUUACCCAAUAAGGAUGAGAAAACAAGUCAUUGUGAGUUUGCAAUAUCUGGGAAAUGAUCACAGCUAAAGAUUUGGUCUUAGAGAAAAACUGUUUAUGGCUUCUGCAGAGCACAGUCUCAGUUGAUUUUCAUCUGAUUUUAACAGCACAAGUUGGCAGAAGCCUUUUAAAGAAAUUAAUUGACUUUGAAAUAUUGAACAGAUAAGCCAUAGAAUUAUAGUUCUGAAAGGAACUACCAAAGAUUUUUUCAGUUGUGGCAUCAUAAGUUUUGAGGUAGAAGGGAGCUUAGAGCCCAUCUAGUGCAGUGCC